rnacentral:tRNA from 1 species
CUCGAUUUAUUUGUUCAAAAAAAUUAGGAUCUAGAUAGGAUAAUGAUCUCGAGUCAUAGCAGUAUCCCCAAGUA